CUAACAAAAGAAAAUCACUACUAACAACUACGCCUACAUCAGACUAGGCGAGUCAUUGAGCUACUUGACACUUGAGACGGGAUAGCACCAACUAAUCAAAACGAUCACAAUACAAAAAAUCACUAGUGACAUGGGGAAGCAGCAAAUCUUCUUCUUCUUCUUCUUCUUCUUCUUCUUCUUCUUCUUCUCCUCCUUCACCUCCACCACC
rnacentral:lncRNA from 1 species